GGGAGGACCGAGCACCGCCUGCCUGCGCUGCGGUACAGGAACGACUUUCUCACCGACACUCUCCAUCACCGCACACAAUGGGAGGAUACGGGAGUAAAGGUAGGGCUCGGCGGCGGACACGCAGACGUGCGGCGCUCUGAAUCCACCGUGGAGCCGUUUCCCAUCGCCUGCGCGGAGCUAAACUUUUCCCCAAGCCGCUGCCUCCGGGCCGCGGAGCCGUCAUUGAACUCACCUGCUUCCCUCUCCUCGAACCGCGGAGCGAUGCAGCAGAAACGGAGGCUGAAGUGGCGAUAGAUCCUGUUGAAUUGAGACAAGACGUCGAGACGCAACCACACACACAAAAAAAGGAAAAGGAAAAAAGAAAAGUGUCCUCCUCGGAGUGCGUCAGAGCCCCGCUGCAUGUGCUGCUGGACGCGGCCGCUGCUUUGGAUCCGAGCAGGGGUUUGUGAUGUUGCAGCCCGAAAUCAAGAUUUGAGCAAAAGCGAAGAACUGCAUCCUCACCUAACCUUCCUCCUCCUCUUCCUCCUCCUCCAGCGGAUUGUUUGGAGGGGCUCAGACGGCUCGUGUGGCCCCUUUUCACAUCUCCGCGGAGCGUCAGAGGGAUAAAGUCCUCCAGCGGAGCUCCAUCACCACAGCACAGAUCCAUUUUUCUCUUUUGCUUUUUUUCAUCUCAUCUCAUAAAAUGGCAACCAGGAGUGACCACGGAGGAUCAAAAGACGCAUUUGUGUCGGAGCUGGGAGACUAACCACCUGAUGGGCACCGGAGGAGCGGCGCAGGGACUGCUGUGGUGUCGCUUGUUGACUUGGUGAUUUAAAAUGCCGAACAAAUAGUUGGACGGAGCGGCUGCGUAACAGGCUGUGGCACCGGCCUCACAUUUUUGGUUAUGGUAAUGAUGUCAUAAAACCCUGGCGGCGGGGGGGAAGCUGAGCCUCGGUCUUCUAUCAUGUAACAUGCAGCGCGCUCAGCGUGGACCUGGCUGAGGUGUGACUUUCUCUGAUUCUCUGCUCUACGGUUUGAUGCCUCAUUUCGCGUCUCUGCGCGCUCCGAGCUGCACCUCGCGGUAACUGAAGCCUUCACACGGACUGAAAAUGGAGUUUGCCAUGGUGGGCGCGGACGGCGGGUGCAACAGUCACCUGCCGUACGGUUAUGCCCAAGCCCGCGCACGGGAGAGGGAGCGCGAGAGGGAGCGCCAGGCUGCUGCCCAGUCGCGAGCGGCGGCCGCGGCGGCAGCGGCGGAGGGCGGAUGCGGUGCGGAGGGAGGCGGCGGAGGAGGCGGCAGCGGCGGCGGAGCGAGCGUGGGGGGGUCCACCUCCACCUCCUCCGGCGCUCAUCUCCUUAACAACCGCCAGCAUCAGUCUCGCGCCGCCUCCUCCUCCGCCAACAUCAGCGGCGGUGGCGGCGGCACCGCCUCGCGCCCCUCCUCCUCCUCCGCCUCCUCCUCGCAGCAGCAGGAGCCCGAGCAGCAGCACAGACUCCUCAGAGAGCGGAAAAAGCAGCGCGGCGUCGGACGGUGGAGACGCAACCGGACGACUCUCGGCGGAGACCUGCGCCACUCGGAGCUGGCGCUGCUCGGAUCCGAGGAGGACAUCAUGAUCGAGGAGGAAGAGGCCGAGGGAGCCGAGGAAGAGGAGGAGGACGAGGAGGAGGAGGGCGGCCGGGGCAGCAAGAGGUCGAGCUUUCUGUGCAACAUGGAUGAUGAGGAGGAGACGGUGUCGAUCACCGACCGGCGGCCGCAGUCCGGUUACGAGAACGUUUACAGCGAGUGCGGCUGCUGCGAGAGAGUCGUGAUCAACGUGUCCGGGCUGAAGUUUGAAACUCAGCUCAAGACUCUCACUCAGUUCCCGGACACUCUGCUGGGAGACCCGGACAAGAGGAUCAGGUACUUCGACCCGCUGAGGAACGAGUACUUCUUCGACCGGAACCGGCCGAGCUUCGACGCCAUCCUGUACUACUACCAGUCCGGCGGCCGGUUAAAAAGACCGGUUAACGUCCCGUUCGACAUCUUCUCCGAGGAGGUGAAGUUUUACGAGCUCGGGGAGGAGGCGAUCCUCAAGUUUCGGGAGGAUGAGGGUUUCGUGAAGGAGGAGGAGAAGCCGCUGCCGGAGGACGAGUUCAAGCGGCAGAUCUGGCUCCUGUUCGAGUACCCGGAGAGCUCGAGUCCGGCCCGGGGCAUCGCGGUGGUCUCCGUGCUGGUCAUCGUCAUCUCCAUCGUGAUCUUCUGCCUGGAGACGCUGCCAGAGUUCAGGGAUGAGAAAGAGUAUCUACAGCCACGACACAACUCCUCGGAGCCGGACCACGGCUUCACGCCCUUCAACGACCCGUUCUUCAUCGUGGAGACGGUCUGCAUCAUCUGGUUCUCCUUUGAGAUUAUAGUCCGCUUCUUCGCGAGUCCGAGCAAACCUGCGUUCUUUAAAAACAUUAUGAACUCCAUAGACAUUGUCUCCAUUUUGCCUUACUUCAUAACCCUCGGCACGGACCUGGCGCAGCACCAGGGCAACGGGCAGCAGGCCAUGAGCUUCGCCAUCCUGAGAAUAAUCCGCCUGGUCCGGGUGUUCCGCAUCUUCAAGCUGUCCCGACACUCCAAGGGGCUGCAGAUCCUGGGUCACACCCUGCGGGCCAGCAUGCGGGAGCUGGCCCUCCUCAUCUUCUUCCUGGUCAUCGGAGUCAUCCUGUUCUCCAGCGCCGUGUACUUCGCUGAGGCGGACGAGCCCACGUCUCAGUUCACGAGCAUCCCGGACGCGUUCUGGUGGGCCGUGGUGACCAUGACCACGGUGGGCUACGGAGACAUGAAGCCCAUCACGGUGGGCGGGAAGAUCGUGGGCUCCCUGUGCGCCAUAGCGGGCGUGUUGACCAUCGCGCUGCCGGUGCCGGUCAUCGUGUCCAACUUCAACUACUUCUACCACCGGGAGACCGACAACGAGGACCAGUCCCCGGUGGUGGAGAGCAUGCCCCCGGGCUGCCCCUACUUCCCGGACUUUCUACGGAAAUUCAAAGGCUCUCCCUCCGGCUCCUCGCUGGGUGACAAAGCGGAGUACAUGGAGAUGGAGGAGGGGGUGACGGAGUCUCUGUGCGGGCUGGACAAGAGCCCCAGUAAAGGCAACGGCACCGAUAUCAGCAGGAAAAACAGCACUAACUCCAAAUCCAUUCAGACUGACGUGUGAUUACAAGCAGUCCUGCAGAGGAACGCGCCCUACACAACAGGUGAUCCCCAACACAACGUUUUACGCACGUCUCAGAGCCCACGCACACGCACACACACACAGGCCACCAAUUGGCAGGUUCAGAUUCUCCUCCUCACCUUCAGGAGCAGCUCUGCCUCGUAGGUUCAUCAAUUAGUCCAUCCGACCUGUGCGUGCUUCCAAAUCUGACACGGAAUCCAAAUUGUGAGGAGCCAGGCUAUGCAUUCGCACUUUAUGAGUUUCAUCUGUCAGUAACAAGAAAGUAGGGACGGUGGUUUUGCUGUUAUGCAAUAAAGUUUAAAAUUUGUUUGCACUAAUGUAGAAUUUCGCGCUGGGUUUGGCAGAUUUCUAUUUACAGUAGAGACAGAAGCUGUAGGCCAUGCAAGUGGCAAUAACUUAGUCAUCCUCGGUCCACUUUAGCAGAAGAAUGUUUUCUCAAAGAGAGCAAACUGCGGAUAUUAAGAACCCCUUUCAUGCGCUGCCAGGAAAAAAAUUGGACUCCAAUAAAUGAAAAGACAGAUAAAAUAUUUUUAACAUAAAUAAAGAAGCUCAUUGAUAAGACAGAGCAUUUAGCAGGCAUCAAACAAACCAGGGCUACAGUCGUUUCUAUGACAUCCACACAGAUAAACGCUUUUCCACAUCAGGCCAAAACAAACAGGACGCCUCGUGUUGUUGUUGUUGUUGUUGACCCACCGGAGAGCUAAGCACAGGAACCUCCCGUUACACUGGCUGAGAAAUGACUCGCCCCAGGUUUUCUAUAUGGACACUCUUGGAGCCUUGGCGACAGCAGGUUUUUUUUUUCUUUUUUUCUUUUCCCAGUUUCAUUUCAAACCACCUCAAAAUGACAAUAUCCCUUUACACGGACGCAGAUGGAAAGUUACAGCAAAAUGACUCUGUCGUGGAAACUCCUCGGAGGGAGUUUACGAGCAAUUUUCUCUCCUGUCCGCUGGACUUGGUGCACAAAAUAUUUGUUUCUUUUUUUUCCCUCAAGAGGACUAUAAUUAUCUCGGAGCUCAGAGGACCUUCGGGAUGUGGACGUCUUCCAAGCGCUGCCAGUCACAGGGAGAGGGAGCACCGCCUUCCUGCACCUCUGGGAAUCGCAGAUGAACAAGCAAAACAUUGUGACCGGGUAACCUCGAGCACGAGCGGACACCGAAAAAGCAACAACUGGGACGGGACCGGGCUUUUUUUAUUUUCCUGUUUUUCCUCUGUGGACGAGCGCAGACGAACGGCUGCUGCAUGGUUUCAGUAAACUGAGACUCUGAGAGUUUCGAGUGAGUAAGUCGUGGCCCCAAAAUGAUUGCCUUAAUUACUACACAUAUACAGAUGUAUGAAGUGACGCUACUAAGAGACUUAUACAGAAAAAAAGAUGUUUUCUUUACAUGUGAAAAAAGUGUCUUGUAAGGAACAGAUGUGAAUAUUUUACUAUGAUAGAGAUCCUGUUUGGUCGUAACGUCGACAUAAUGUUUUAGUUGGGUCGGCUUCGUAGGUGUUACUAAAUGGUGAGUUUGCUCUCUGCUUAUGUGCAGCCGGCAGUGAUCUAUUUUUAUCUUGUUUCAUAUCGUCGACCAAACCAAGGCUGGCCCCCCCUCCCGAGUCGCUCGCCAAACGACGCCGGAAAACCCACAUUCAUUGUACCCUCGCUCAGAGAAGGUGUACAGAGGGCUGGGAGAGAUUUAAUGCAACAAACCCAUCAGACAGGGCAUCCUCUCACGUUCAGAUCCACACCUACACUAAAGCAAAGAUGUCAGGCACAUAAACGCCCCUCAUGAACAUCCACCCACUUUCUACCGCGGAGGACGGAACUCGACCUUUUGUUUUCCACAGAUGCAAACUUAGAGCUGACCAGCUGCUUCGUCGAUCUGUUUUCACUUUAACUGUAUGCAAAAGUAACAUGGACGUGUGUUCUCUAUUUUUUUAAACCUAGCCUUGAUAAUUACAUAACCAAAGGUGAAACCCUGAAUCUAUUGUAUGUCGUGGACUUCUGGAACAUGUUGUGAUAUAGAUGCACACCGAAUAGAAGAAAAAAAUGUAAAUAUCAGACGUUUAUACCUGUGUGUCCUCAGAUGUGUUGCGGAUAGAGUAAUUUGAGACUUUUUACUUUCUUUGACUGUUACGACCAUCGACCAUAAAUAAUCUGUGUUUGGUUUGUCCUCGCUGAUACAAUCAUGUCCUUCAUAUUGUUGCGAAUGCUGCUCCCACAUGUUUCAUUACUGUCUUCUUCUGCUUUUACGUUCUCCCCUCUCCCGUUGAGAAUCCUCGUUUAUUUGGCGAACUGAAGGCUUGCUGAAGAAGCGUUUGUUACCUCUCUUAGACCUGCCUGUGAAUGAAACGGUUUAAGAAACGGCAUACUUUCAUGAGGAGACGGUGUUUUAUUUUCCUAGGUUUUCCUCUACAUCCUGUGUUAGCUCUAACGGCACUCGAAGCUUGAAUUUAGAGUGUCUUGUUCCUCGACUCCUGAAGAAAAUCCAAAGUUCUUUGCGCUUUUUUUUCCGAGAAUUCGUAUGUGUAAUUACCUCAUGAAUAGUUUCCCUCAGAAAAGAUGUUUACUGAAUGUUAGCGAGAUUUCUCCAGUGUCAAAAGAACCUGUAACCACGAAUAGCCGCAAUAGAUUUUAAAUAGAUGUCAAUAGUUUACUCUGGAAGCCCUUACAGGGGUUUUGUUUGUUGUUUUUGGGGGGGAGCAAAGGACACAAAUUAAGUUUGUCAUUUCUGCAAACCAGCAGUUUUACCAGAAACGCUGCAGCAGAGCUCAGACACUGACAAAUCUGCAAAGUUUCACUUCUUUAAAACCAACAGAAGAGAAGGAAGAGUUGAUCUAAAGGAAACUAAAUGCAAUGAAGGCGAUGGGAUAGAUUUAUAUUUAUUUAGGGAUUGACUGAUUAUCAGAGCAGAUACUCUGCGUUUUUCUACAUAUGUGUCAUUGUUUUUCCAACUGAUUCCCAAAUUAAUUUAAAAAAGCACCACUUUGGCUUGUAACAGCCGAUAGAUAUUGAAGGAUAAAUGUUGACAAGUUCUCCGUUACUUAAACACAAAUAAUAAUGGACAUAUCAACAAGGUUUUGUGUUAAAAUUAGUUCUGAGUAUCAGGAUAUUUAGCAUGGAAGCUCAAAGUUUGGACGCUGAUGAAUCUGCAAAGUUUUCACUACUUUAAAAACAACAGAAGAAAGAAAAGAGAAGAAAGAGUUGAUCUAAAGGAAACCGACUUUAAAUGCAGUGAAGAUGAUGGAAUAUAUUUAUCUAUAUUUAGAGAUUGACUGAUUAUCAGAGCCGAUAUUCUGCAUUUUUCUAAAUAUCUGUUGCUUUUUUUCCCAACCCAUUCCUUAAAUUUAUCUAAAAAUGCCAAUAAAUACUGGAGGAUAAAUGUCGACAAGUUCACUGUUAGUUUAACUCAUAUCAGCAAGGUUUUUCAUUAUUUUAACUGAAGAUGUUUACCAGUAAUACCAGUUCUGAAUAUCGAGAUGUUUAGCACAGAAGCUCAAAGUUUAGACGCUGACAGACCUGCAAAGUUUCACUUCUUUAGAAAAUUAAUGAACAACAAAAACAAGGAUUGAAUCUAAACACAACUGAACUUGAAGACAAUGAAGACUGUUUAUUAUAUUUAGGGAUUGACUGAUUAUCAGAGCCGAUAUUCUGGAUUUUUCUAAAUAUCUGUCGUUAUUUUUUCAACUCAUUACCAGAUUAAUUUAGAAAUGCAUCUGACACGAGAAACAGCCGAAUCGAUCAAGUUCUCUUUAAAUUAAAUAUGUGGAAAACACAAAUAAACAAGGACAUAUCACUGAAGUUUUGUGUUAAAAUGUGUGUUUGACGGAAGGAUUUUCUGUUUUACUGCAAACGGAUAUCGACUCUAAAUAUCAGCUUUCAGUAUCGGCCCCAAAAAACCAGACUGGUCGACCAGCGAGCAGAAUAUCGGCUGCAACUUAUUCAUCAUAUGAAAGUAAUAAAGGGAAAGUAAAAGUAACUGAAACACACAGAUUACAAUAAUUUAUCAGGAUAUUUAGCAGAGAGACUCAGAGUCUAGUCUGCAAAGUCAUCACAUCUUUACAAAAUAAAACAAGAAAGAAAGAAGAGAAAAAAACAGUUGACAUAUUUUUCUACAACUUCGUAUCGAUUCUAGACGUCAGAUUUGUUGUCAGCUCUAAACAGAAUAUCGGUCGACCUUCAGAUGUGAUAUCCGUUUGUUCCUGGGUCUUAAAUGUUUGGAGAUCAAAUGUUUAAAAUAUAACUUAAUCCUGCAAGACCCUGAAAGCAAAAGUGAUUAUAGAAGAGAGAAACAGAUAAAAUGCUUAAUUUUCCAAGAACCUAUGAAGAUAUUUAAGCACAGAGACUCAGUUUAGAGACACACAAAACUCGCAAAAUGUCACAUCUUCAAAAAGAAGAGAGAAAAGAAGAAAGAGCUGCCAGAUAUUUUCUGCAAAUGCAUAUCAAUUUUAAAUAUGGUACUAGUUUGUGACAGCAUCUUAAGUGUUUGGAGAUCAAAUUUUCAAAACAUAAGUUUAUCCGAUUAGUUUGUAAAUGCACAAGUCCUGACGAGAGAGACGGACAAACGGAAAAACGUUAAAUUAUGAAGAUAUUUAAGCACAGAGACUGAGUUUAGAUCAUGACAAGUCUGUAAAGGAGUCACAUCUUUAAAAAGUAAAGUAUCUAAAGUGAGAAAGAAGAGAAGAAAGAGUUGCCAGAUAUUUUUCUGCAAAUACACAUCGAUUUAAAUAUUAGUUUGAAGUAUCAGCCCUAAAAAAAACACUAAAAAGUAUAAGAUCAGUCUUAAGAAUUCUUUGAAAUGCAAGCUAAUCCUGCAAGUUUAUGAAGGCAAGCGAUUAAAGGAAAGGAAAACAAAUUAAACACAUAAAUUCAUGACAAAAAAUUAUGAUAUUUUAGCACAGAGACUCUAUAAAGCUCAGAAUUUACACAAUGACAAAUCUGCAAAGACGUCACAAAUUCAACAGUUAAAGUAAUAAAGAAGACAAGAAAGAGCUGCCAGAUAUUUUUCUGCAAAUGCAUAUCGAUUUUAAAUAUAAUAUUAGUUUGUGGCUGUGUUCUAAGUGUUUGCAGAUCAACUCUUUAGAAUGUAAGUUAAUCUGGUUAGUUUAGAAAUGCACAAAUCAUGCACAGUGUGACAAAUGGAAAAACACUGAUUUAUGAGGAUGUUUAGCACACAGACUCAUUAUAAGCAGCUGUAUUUACAGUUCUGAGUCAGAACUCCUCCUACCCCUGUCAUUACUAGUCUUCAAACUGAACAAACAUCAGCUGCUGAGUGUCAAAGGCCGGUUUGUCACCUUUUAGCAGAGCCAGUCUUUAAGCUAAGCUAACUAGCUGUAGCCACAUGCUAACUGCACAGAUCCACUUAAACUCCCACCAAGCACGGCUCCCAGAAGAGGUUCAUUAAAAAAAAAAAAAAAAAUCUGUUUCCAGGAGUGAGUUUAUUCCACUGAUCUGGUUAGACGAUAGCCUGAAGCCGAUUUACACUAGUCAGCCGAGAUCCAGGGAGUGAUUUUAAGCCCAACGUUAGCGGAGAUGUGAGACUGAGGAGCAUCGCCAGAAGCCCGACGAAGUGUUUAAGAGUUUUACCACAGAGGAGGCUGAGUCGGAGAGGGAGAAACACGUUUUUUUAGACAAAAAAAACGCAUCAGAAUGACAGAAAAGAACCAAAAUUAGACACAAAACAACACAAAAGGACAGAAAAAAAAACAAAAUUAGACACAAAACAACACAAAAUGACAGAAAAAAACUAAAUUAGACCAAAAUGACAAAAGAACCAAAAUUAGACACAAAAUGACAGAAAACAACCAAAAUUAGACACAAAACAAAAUGACAGAAAAAAACUAAAUUAGACACAAAAUGACAGAAAACAACCAAAAUUAGACACAAAAUGACAGAAAACAACCAAAAUUAGACACAAAACAAAACAAAAUGACAGAAAAAACACAAAAUUAGACACAAAAUGACAGAAAAGAACCAAAAUUUGACACAACACAAAAUGACAGAAAAAAAUAAAAUUAGACCAAAAAAAACCCCAAAACGAAACAAAAAAAAAAAAAUCAGAUACAAAACAACUUAAAAGGUCAGAAAACUAUAAAAAUAUUUAACACAACAUAAAAUAAAAAAGUUUAAAAUUAUACACAAAAGAACUGGAUAAUGACAGAAAAUAACAAAAAUUAGACACAAAACAACAAAAUGAUAAAAAAAAUCAAAAUGUCACAAAACAUAAAAUGACAGAAAAUAACUAAAAUUAGACAACAGAAAAUUAUCAGAAUUAGUCACAAAACAACCACAAAAUGAUGGAAGAUAACCACAAAGCAACAUAAAAUGACAAAAUUUUAUAAAAAAAUUGACACAAAACAUAAAAUGAAAUAGAUUUAUAAAAAAUUGAUCCAAAACAACAUAAAAUGGCAGAAAAUAAAAAUUAGACACAACAGAAAAUUAUCAGAAUUAGUCACAAAACAACCACAAAAUGACAGAAAAUAACAACAAAACAACAUAAAAUGACAAAAUCUUAUUUAAAAAAUUGACAGAAAACAUAAAAUGACAAAAUUUUAUUUAAAAAAUUGACAUAAAACAACAUCAAAUGGCAGAAAAUAACAAAAAUUAGACACAACACAACAGAAAAUUAUCAAAAUUUGACACAAAACAACAUAAAAUGGCAGUAAAUUAUCAAGAUUAGACAACAACCACAAAAUGCCAGAAAGAAACCAUGUAUGUGGCUGCAGGCUGUUUUCACGUGAAGCUGGCCUCACUUAAACCCGUUUUAAUCAGGACAUCAGCGGGAGAAGGGCGGCGUUCUGUCAGGUGAGGAGAUUUCAGAGCAGAUAGAAUAAAAAGUGAGGGAAGGUAAUUUAUCCUGGUGUGAUGAGCACUGACCAGGAAGGUCAGAAUCCAGAGUUAGAAGAGUGAUUUUUAUCAGGAUUCUGGGUCAUUUGGGUCACAUCAGGAGGAUUUUAUCGUACCGCUGCAAGAGACAAACUCUUAGUGACAAAGUAAAAUAAAUAAAGAAAAAGCAAGAAAUCAAGACAAUAUUAGAGCAUCUUGAUUUGUUCAAAUUUGCCAAAACAUUUUCUAAAAGAACAUUUAAGGUGAAAAUAAGAGUGGGAACAACUUGAAAACAUGCGAUCACAAACCAAUAAUUAAGACGUAAUUAAAUCAAAAUCACAUUUUAGUGCAGAGAAAAAUCUGAUUCCUCAAAGAUUAAUUUAGGUUUAACAGCAAACAUUUAGACUCUCCUGCAGACUAAACAACAUUUAUAGAUGGUCUGAAAUCACCUGCAGUAAUAAGUUCAGUGAUAAUAGCAGCGGUUCGUGUUAAAAAGCUUAAAGGAAGGUGAACUCUGCGUUAGAUAACAAACAGAACAUUUUAAUUAGCAGCGCCUCCCAGCUGAACACUCACUGGAGCUGCGUUUGUAAUGAUUCUGCUGACCAGGAGGCGUUUAACUGAAAAAAAAAACAACAACAACUGAGAUCAUUCCACACUGAGGGUUCGGCUUAACGUUAAAAAUGGAUUUUUAAGUGGCCACAGAGUGAGAAACUGCCCGUCUGUUCACAUUUUAACACCUCUGAGACUCUGCUGAGCAUCUCUGUCCACACGUAUCCGGAUAAGUCUGAAAACGCAGAUAUUUUUCUCCGAUUCGGCCCGUCAUCCACACGUAACCGGAGGUUUUUGGUUCUGAAAACGGAGGUUUUGAAAGCUCCGGCCAAAGUGGAGAUUUGGGAAAAACCCCGGGUGUGCGUUUACGUGUGGACAGACAUAACCGGAGUUUUAGGAGCGCAGACGUCACUGCCUGCGACAAAACUGCUGAGACGUCAGACAUGCGACCUUUGUAGAAAAUCGGAGCAGAAUGGACGCGCUCAAAAGUGUACUGGUUUCAACGAUACUACAGGCGCUUUUUGCUUGUUUGAUCUUACAAGCUCAGUUACUGCUUCACCUCGAAGAGCAUCAGAGAAGGAGGACUGCUGUGACUUCCACUGUUUUACACCUGACAACCAUUCCACGUCCUCGGCAUGUUCGACGAGAGAGACGCCGCCGCCGCUCCGGAUACGUGUAGGCGGAGAUUUUUGUAGAAAACGGAGACGUGUGGCCGCAGAUGUUUUCCUAAACGGAGGGGGGCGGAUAUUCGGUUUUAAAAAUAUCUGGAUGCAUGUGGACAUGGCAUAAGUUUAAGAUGAAUGCCUCCCCUAAUCAAUACCAAAAGGUUUGUGCUUUAAAAACAACAACCAGAUCUGGAGCUCAACGCUAAAGGACCGCAUGCCACGCAAAAACGGUCAAAAUCACAGCUUUGAGUUCACUCAAAAUGAUCUAAAUUAGACACAAAACAACAGAAAACGACAGAAAAUGACUAAAAUUAGACACAAAACGACAGAAAAUUGUCAAAAUUAGACACAAAACGACAGAACAUUAUCAAAAUUAGACACAAAAUGACAAAAAAUUACUAAAAUUAGACACAAAAUGACAGAAAAUUACUAAAAUUAGACACAAAAUGACAGAAAAUAACCAAAAGUAGACACAAAACAACAUAAUAGAUAACAAAACUAGACACAAAACCACCAAAAAGACAGAAAAAUUGCCCAAAUUAGACUCAAAAUGACAAGAAAUUACCCAAAUUAGACACAAAAUGACAGAAAAUUAUCAAAAUUAGAUACAAAACGACAGAAAUUUAUCAAAAUUAGACACAAAAUGACAGAAAAUGACUAAAAUUAGACACAAAAUCACAGAAAAUAACCAAAAGUAGACACAAAACAACAUAACAUGACAGAUAAAACUAGACACAAAACCACCAAAAAGACAGAAAAAUUGCCCUAAUUAGACACAAAAUGACAGAAAAUUAUCAAAAUGAGACACAAAAUGAAAGAAAAUUACCCAAAUUAGAGACAGAACAACCACAAAAUUACAGAAAUGAUCAAAAUAAAAAAAUAAACCAGCCAAAAAUCACAGCUUUAGCUUGACUCAAAUGUGGCCAAAGUUCUAGAAACCGGCCGCUGGGAAAGACGUUCCUUCGUCCUCUGGUUUUCAUUUGCACAAUUAGACUCCAAACGAGGAGCUGAGCAGAUAAUCGAUUCACAACUGAAGUCACAAUUUGAAACAACGCAAUUACCAAACCGCAAAAGGCUGCAAUCUGGGAGGUGUGAAGUAAUGAGACGAACAAUUCAAUCCCGUUUAAUUUGAGCAAAUUGAAAGUUCCAGGGGACGUCUGUGCUGCUCGUUUAUCGCCGUGGAUCAGAGGCUGAACUUCUACUGACAGUUUGAUUACUUAAUAAGCACAUUUAGAACAUUUUUCAUAUAAUUCGCUUAGUUUAAAACAUAUUUACAAUAAAAUACUGGUACAUUCAAAAGCACAACUCCAGUUCAAAGUCAGUUCUGAACACUUUUGUUGUUGAAUUAUUCAGUUUCUUAGAAGCUGCUACAGGAACAAAAACUUGAAAAUCCUGAGAACCAUUUAAGAAAAUGUAACUGGAGCAACCUUACUUUUCAAAAUGUUGGUCAACUUAAGAAAUAAUUACACACAACACACAAACUUUCCUUUGAAACAAUGUGGAAAAGCUCGUUAGAAUGAAUAUUAAAAGGCUAAAAACCUGAGCAGAAAAUUUUAUUCAGGCAGGAUAACUUUUACAAUGUUUGUCAACUUAAAAACUUGUGUUCAUGAUUGCAGUAUUGAAGUACAUAAAACACAAAAAUUCCUUUAAAAAAGGGAGGGAACGAGACAAAACAAUGAAGAAAACAAAACACAAAAUGACAAAAGCGAAGAUAAAAAAAAUACAAGAGACAAAACUGAAAAACAAAAUGACAGAAGUGGGAAACAAAAUGAGAUAAGGAACACAAAAUAAAACAAAAAGAGAGACAAAAUAUCUGACAAAUGACAAAAACGAGACCAAAAAUGACAUAAGUGAGAAACAAAAGUAUACAAAAAAAUUGGACAAAAAAGUUACAAAGCGACAAACAAACGGACAAAAGACACAGGUGAGACAAAAAGGAAACAAAACGACAAAAACUAUGAGACAAACAACAAAAGACAGACCAAAAAAGAAAAAAUAACGACACUAAACAAGAUAAAAUAUUACAAAGACAGAGACAGAAAACGACAAAAGAACAAUCUAGUAUUUUACUUUAAGAUCUAAACAGCUUGUCAUAGUUUAGAAAUUAUUCUAAAUUUAUAGUUUUACUCAUUUACAAUCUGCAGUCGUAAUCUGCAGCCUCUGGGGGGCCGGGUUUGGUCCGCGGGCCACAUGUUGGACCCCUGACUGGACUUCAGGUCGAUCCGUUAGCUUUAGCUCUUUAGCUCUGUACUGCAGCUGUUUGUCCACAUCUGUAUUCACUAAAACGCCCCAGAACUUAGUCAGAAGGUUUCAGAGGUAAUGAGAAGAGGAGGCGCCCUGUCAGAGAUCAGGCCGAUGAUUAGGAGAUAAAAACCUUCAUCAGUCCACAAAUCUGACCUUUCUCAUCAACACUUUUCAUUUCCAGGAUCAGAGCGUUGAGGUCGAGCAGCAGAAUUAUGUCACACACUGAUAAUUGUUGGAUCUGCUCAGUUAGUAUCCUAAAGUCCUCUCUGAAAUGGAAAUGUGCCACUAAUUAGACCGGCCCGAGUUCCUCAAGCUAUCAGACACUCCUGAGCUUUACAAGAACUGACAUCAAACAGGAAACUCUGAUUAUUGGUGGAAAACGAUCAAUAGAUUCGUCAAUAAGUAGAGGAUUAAACGGUCAAAUAUUCUUUGGUUGUAGCUCCUCAAACUUGACAGUUUAAUCUGCUGUUUUAGACAAAUUAACUUUUAUCUCGCUGUCUGGCAUUGUUUUCUCACAUUUUAUUUGUAAAAAUGUUAAUUAAUAAAACAUCUGGCAAGUUAAUCAACAAUAAGAAUAGUUUAAAGAUGCAACCCAAGAUGAAAAACAGCAAAAAUCUGUAGAAGAAGGUGUAAUCUGUGAUAAAUGUUUCAUUAUACAACAACGUCUUAUGAUGAAAUGACCAAAAAAACUCGUCAAAAAGAGACAAAACACAAGAAAUCAGGAAAAUACAGCGACUAGUUUGUAAUAUUUAGGAUAAAAGGUGACAAAGAUGGUAAAUUAACAACAGUUUGGCAAAAUAAAUGGAAUAAAAUGCAUUGUUUUAUGUGCCGUUUUUGGAAGAAAUGGAUCUGUGGAUAUUUGAUUGGCAAAAAGUUAAUUUUCCUAAAUAUUUAGCAAAUUAACCAACAAUAAAACUAGCUUUAGUUUCAAUCUUAAUGGGAGAAAAAAUAAGAAUUUUGGAAAAUUAUGUUGUAAACGUCCAAGAAAACUCAAAAACUGAGAAAACACAAUCAAAUCAAAAACACAUUUUCACCAAUUUGCAGCAUUUAGAGGGAAAAUGUCACAAGUAAGUAAAACGGAGGUAAAUUAACAACAGUUCGGCAAAAUAAAUGGAAUAAAAUGAGCUGCAAAGACAUUUUUCAUGCUUUGUUUUUAGAAGAAAAAUGGAUCUGUGAGUAAUUUAUUGGAAAAAUGAUAAAUUAACAACAUAUCUAGUAAAUUAAUUGACUAAAAAAAAUAGUUUUAAGAUGCAGCCUGAAUGGAAAACAACACAAAUCUGUAAGAGAAUGUGGAAACUUCGAUAAAUGUUCUGUAAAAACAGCAAUGUUUUAUGAUAAAACGUCCAAGAAAACGCAGAGAAAACAGACAAAACACAAAAAAUAUGGCAUCUAGCUUCCGAUAUUUAGGGUAAAAGGUGACAAAGACGGUAAAUUUAUGACAGUUUGGCAAAAUAAAUCGAAUAAAAGGAGCUGCAAAGACAUUUUUGGAUGGAUUUGUGAUUAUUUUACUGGUGAAAGAAUCAAUCAACAAAAUAUCAAUCCAAGUAAUUGACAAUAAAAAUAGUUUGUAGUAGCAGCCAUAAUCGAAAACAGCAAGAAUUUGGAGAAAUUACUUCGUAAAUGGUCUGUGAAGUGGCAACGUUUAACGGUAAAAUGUCCAAGAAAACACAAGAAAUCUAGAAAAUAAAGCGACUAGCUUGUAAUAUUAAGGGUAAAAGGUGACAAAGACGGCAAAUUUAUGACAGUUUAGCAAAAUAAAUGGAAUAAAAUGAGCUGCAAAGAUAAUUUUCAUGUGCCGUUUUUGGAAGAAAAAUGGAUCUGUGGAUAUUUCACUGGCCAAAAAACGAAAGAACAAAAUAUUGAGUCAAUUAUUUGACAUUAAAAACAAGUUUUAGUUGCAGUCUUAAAGGGAAACUCAAAGAAUUUUGCAGAAUUAUCCAAUAAAACGCAAUAAAAACAGACAAAACACAAGAAAUCUAGAAAAUACGACGACUAGUUUGUAAUAUUUAGGGUAAAAGGUGACAAAGACGGCACAUUUAUGACGGUUUAGCAAAAUAAAUGGAAUAAAAUCCACUGCAAAGAUAUUUUUCAUGUGUUGUUUUUGGAAUUAAAAUGGAUCUGUGGAUAUUUAGGCAUAAUUAGGCAACGUCUAAUGUGUUGGAGGUGAUAAAAUGUCCAAGAAAACACAUCACAGUAAGACAAAACACAAGAUAUCAAGAAAAUACGGCGACUAUUUUCCAAUAUUUAUGGUAAAAGGUGACAAAGACGGUAAAUUUAUGACAGUUUGGCAAAAUAAAUGGAAUAAAAUGUGCUGCAAAGACAUUUUUAUGUGUUGUGGUUGGGAGAAAAGUAAGUAUUUUAUUCAUAUUUGGUCGACAUUUAGUCAUGAACGAGCUUCCCAGAAACAUUAAAUCCUGCGAUCAGCUUCAGACGGUUUAGUUUUGGAGCCAGAGGAACACAUUGGGAUAAACGGUGGGAUUAGAACAUUCAGGAGUCUAUGCAAGCUGGUGCAGUUUGAACAAAGCAUGUCUACAUUUAGUCAUCGUCACCUCACCUGCAGGAAGGUGAAAGAUCUCUGCAGGCGGCUGCAGCGUGUUUGACACCCAUCAUCAGACAGCAACUAUUAACGAACAUGUAAAAUACUUCUACAGUUCAGGUGUUGAGUUGUUGGCCAGCCUUGCUUUUAUUCUGCAUGACGCUUUGUUUUUGAGAAAUAUGCAUCCGAACCCAAGGUAUGUUUGUAUUCUUUCUCCUGAGGGUGCUCCUCUCUGUAUCUCCGUCACUUUCUGACCUGAAUUCUCCUGUUUUUUUUUUGUUUUUUUUUUUUUGUUGUUUUAAUUUAUUAUGUUGUUUUGUUUGUUUUUUUGGUAAAAACUUCCGACUUCUGGAUUUUCUACAUUCAUAACAUUUUGUAGACAGCAAUAUGAGAUGUGAUUGAAAAAUGGAAUAUGUGCAAUGUUGAUUAAAGAAAAAUAUAAUAUAUUCAAUAAAAAUUCAGAAAACAGAA